AGCGAAUGCUGGCGGCAGGCUUAACACAUGCAAGUCGAACGGGCAUAGCAAUAUGUCAGUGGCAGACGGGUGAGUAACGCGUGGGAACGUACCUUUUGGUUCGGAACAACACAGGGAAACUUGUGCUAAUACCGGAUAAGCCCUUACGGGGAAAGAUUUAUCGCCGAAAGAUCGGCCCGCGUCUGAUUAGCUAGUUGGUAGGGUAAUGGCCUACCAAGGCGACGAUCAGUAGCUGGUCUGAGAGGAUGAUCAGCCACAUUGGGACUGAGACACGGCCCAAACUCCUACGGGAAGCAGCAGUGGGGAAUAUUGGACAAUGGGCGAAAGCCUGAUCCAGCCAUGCCGCGUGAGUGAUGAAGGCCCUAGGGUUGUAAAGCUCUUUUGUGCGGGAAGAUAAUGACGGUACCGCAAGAAUAAGCCCCGGCUAACUUCGUG
rnacentral:rRNA from 1 species